GCUUAAUAUAUUACAUCUGCUGCAUAUUAAAUACUUGCUGUCAGGUACUUAAUAUUGUUUCUGUGAAUUUGUCUGGAAAUAAACUGCAAUUUUUACUAAUAGGAUUCUAUUGUUUCCCCUCCUUUUGUUGUGGUAGAUUCGGCCGUAUGUAGGAUGUUUAGUUCAAUAUUUGCCUCUUCUCUGGAAGCAGAGUGAAGAGCACAAUAUGUUAAGAUGUGCUAUUUUGACAACACUUAUUCAUCUUGUUCAGGGAUUAGGAGCAGACAGCAAGAACCUGUACCCUUUCCUGCUCCCUGUUAUUCAACUGAGUACAGAUGUUUCCCAGCCUCCACAUGUUUAUCUUCUGGAAGAUGGUUUAGAAUUAUGGUUAGUGACAUUGGAAAACAGCCCAUGUAUUACACCAGAGUUGCUUCGUAUAUUUCAGAAUAUGUCACCCCUUCUUGGUAUGUAUUAAGCCGUAAAUUUAUUGCAGUUUUUGGAUGCAGCUGUAAUUUGGGGGUAUUGUAGCCAACUUUAAAUUACUACUCUCAUUUUUAUUAAAGUCCAUCAUAUUGACCAAUAAGAUGAAUGUAUUUUGUUUCUAGAUUUUUCCAUA
rnacentral:lncRNA from 1 species